CCCAGCGUGUCCAGUGAUGAGACUACCGUUCCUGUGAGCCUGGGCCAGGAAAAGGCAGUAGACAAAGGGAACAGUCAGUCAAGUAGAGUUUGCUGGAGAUAUACGUGGAAACCUCCGCACAGACGCAGGGCUGCUGGAUUUAUAAGGAGGACACAAGCCUUCCGCUGAGCCUGGAGCCACACCUGACCCUCAGCUCCAGGAACCACUUUGCUCAAUUUUCCAGCAAAGGGAAGCGGGGCUUUCCCGCUUCAAUGCCAUUCUGAAUGCCACUGGGAAGGACUCCUAUGGAUCUGCUUUCGGAAUUUAAGAGUAUGCUGAGGACGUUUCGCAUUAUGAUCGGUGAGUGUAUGGGCAUGAAAACUGCUGGGAUUGCCUCUGCUUUGCGUGGCCACUGACAGGGAACUUUCCAGGUGAGUGUCAUGGAGGGGCCCCAGCUGGAGUGGAGUGU